UGAGAGAUACUGCAUGACAUCUGGUUCUUCUUACUGGUCCAAGAAUUACAUUGGCAUGAGACAGAAUAACAGAAGAAAACCAAACAAUUUUAAUAGCAUGUACAUGUGGGAGAAACCCAGGAAAACUGAGAAGAUUAGCCCUGAGCUAACUGCUGCCAAUCUCCCUCUUUUUGCUGAGGAAGACUGGCCCUGAGCUAAUAUCCAUGCCCAUCUUCCUCUACUUUAUAUGUGGGACGCCUGACACAGCAUGGCUUGACAAGUGGUGCUAUGUCUGCAUCCAGCUUCAAACCGGCGAACCUCAGGCCUCCGAAGCGGAACGUGCG
rnacentral:lncRNA from 1 species